GAUGAACGCUGGCGGCGUGCCUAAUACAUGCAAGUCGAGCGAACAGACGAGGAGCUUGCUCCUCUGACGUUAGCGGCGGACGGGUGAGUAACACGUGGAUAACCUACCUAUAAGACUGGGAUAACUUCGGGAAACCGGAGCUAAUACCGGAUAAUAUAUUGAACCGCAUGGUUCAAUAGUGAAAGACGGUUUUGCUGUCACUUAUAGAUGGAUCCGCGCCGCAUUAGCUAGUUGGUAAGGUAACGGCUUACCAAGGCAACGAUGCGUAGCCGACCUGAGAGGGUGAUCGGCCACACUAGAACUGAGACACGGUCCAGACUCCUACGGGAGGCAGCAGUAGGGAAUCUUCCGCAAUGGGCGAAAGCCUGACGGAGCAACGCCGCGUGUGUGAUGAAGGUCUUCGGAUCGUAAAACUCUGUUAUUAGGGAAGAACAAAUGUGUAAGUAACUAUGCACGUCUUGACGGUACCUAAUCAGAAAGCCACGGCUAACUACGUG
rnacentral:rRNA from 1 species